GACGAACGCUGGCGGCGUGCUUAACACAUGCAAGUCGAGCGGUAAGGCCCUUUCGGGGGUACACGAGCGGCGAACGGGUGAGUAACACGUGGGUGACCUGCCCUCAGCUCUGGGAUAAGCCCGGGAAACUGGGUCUAAUACCGGAUAUGACUCCAUGACGCAUGUUGUGGGGUGAAAGCCUUGUGCGGCUGAGGAUGGGCCCGCGGCCUAUCAGCUUGUUGGUGGGGUGAUGGCCUACCAAGGCGACGACGGGUAGCCGGCCUGAGAGGGCGACCGGCCACACUGGGACUGAGACACGGCCCAGACUCCUACGGGAGGCAGCAGUGGGGAAUCUUGCGCAAUGGGCGAAAGCCUGACGCAGCGACGCCGCGUGAGGGAUGACGGCCU
rnacentral:rRNA from 1 species